UAAUUUCACAUUGUAAUUAUUUUUGAAAUU
rnacentral:piRNA from 1 species